rnacentral:piRNA from 1 species
GAAUGAAAGAUUUGCCCACAGUU